GUAGGUGGCAAGCGUUGUCCGGAAUUAUUGGGCGUAAAGCGCGCGCAGGUGGUUCCUUAAGUCUGAUGUGAAAGACCCCCGGGCUCAACCCGGGGAGGGGUCAUUGGAAACUGGGGAACUUGAGUGCAGGAGAGGAAAGUGGAAUUCCACGUGUAGCGGUGAAAUGCGUAGAUAUGUGGAGGAACACCAGUGGCGAAGGCGACUUUCUGGCCUGUAACUGACACUGAGGCGCGAAAGCGUGGGGAGCAAACAGGAUUAGAUACCCUGGUAGUCCACGCCGUAAACGAUGAGUGCUAAGUGUGGGGGGUUUCCGCCCCUCAGUGCUGCAGCUAACGCAUUAAGCACUCCGCCUGGGGAGUACGGUCGCAAAGACUG
rnacentral:rRNA from 1 species